rnacentral:lncRNA from 1 species
AUGAAACAGGAAACGCGCAGAAGAAGACGCACCUGGAGACCCAAACAAUCUCAUGUGAUAUUCCCACCAACUAGCGUUUGUUUUGCUCUGGGAAAACCUCAAAUUCCCGAACUAUCCAUCGUCCAAACAUUGCUCUCCCUCGGGUUUUCCUCUCGCCGGGUCAGCUGCGGACGGCUCCCAGCGCACCUCAUGGAGACCUCCGCCAGACGCGUCCAGAUGUACACCCAGGACGAGAGGCGCGUCAUAGAGGAGGCGGUCAACGCUGCGAUACGCGCCCUGCUGGACGCCAUGCACCGCGUCAACAGCGAUAAAAUAGUCAAGUACCAGAGUGUCGUGGAGGAGAGGGACAAGGAGAUCAGUCGGCUGGAGUACAAAUUGAGACAGAAUGAGCUGGAACUGAGGGUCGUGCGGGGACAGAGGGAUGGGUACCGGAGGCGGGCUCUCGAAGGGCAGGGUCCCAGUGAUGAAGAACAUGAUGAGGUCCUCGCGGGCUACGAGGUCCCUGCUGGAGAGGAUGCGAUGACGAAUGGCUUUACCGUGCAGAAGGAUUUCCCUAGUGGUUCAGCAGAGAGACCUCCGUCGCUCUCCAGUGGUGACGACCCCCACCACACCGGCCAGCCCUCGCCGCACCACCGACACAGAGUCCCCCGGGACGCCUCCUCCUGCCCCCCCCUCUCCCCCGGGCGCCGCCACUCGCCCCGCCCCCCCGGCGCUCGGGGCAAAGACGAGGAGGAGGAGGAGCCGUCGGGCUGCGAGGCGUUCUUCAUCAAGCUGGAGAUGUGUGAGCAGAGCUGUGGGAGUGGCCAACAGGACGACAGGCAGCAGCCGGACGGCCCCGACCACAGCCCCGACCACAGCAGACGGCUGACGGACGCUCAGAGGAACAAGCGGUACCGCCAGCGAUGUCGCUCCACCCCCGAGGGCCUUCGGGCCUGCAGGGAGAAGGAGAGGAUACGCUACCUGAAGAGGAGGGUACUGGUGGCAGAGAUGUCGGAGGAAGCCCGGAGGAGAAAGAGGGAGAUGUGGAGAGCGGCAGCCAGAAGGCACCGCGACCGCAAUACCAUGCGGCCUGCCGCCCCACUGCCCGCCAGCAGGGGGCGACAACGACGACCGCUUCGACGACUGGCCGGCGCUGGGCGACGCGGAGAGUCCGACGCGAGAGGAGCUGGACCACUUCACGCGCAUGGAUCACCGACAGCAUCCCAGCAACCCUGA